rnacentral:lncRNA from 1 species
GAUUAUUUUAAAUGUUUUCUUUACUCAAGCAGGUGGAUUUAGGGCAUGACGGUAAUAAUAAACACUCCUCUAAAGAACAGAUUUUGAUCAAGGAAGUCUCCAAUUGGUUCCAUAUAUAAUCUUUACUCUUUUCGUUUUCCCAGGGCAAAAACUGCACAAAAGAAACAAACCACUGCUCUUGAAAUAUAAUACCAGUGGAAAAAAACAAACAAACAAAAAACAAACAAAACCUCAAGACAAAAACUGGCCUAACAAUGCAAACUAGAACUUAAAUAAGAUCUUACCACACCUCUGCAGCCACCCAUAUCCAGUGUGUAUCCUGGAAAGACUUAUGACUAACCAAAGAGAGGAGAGACCAUGAAAAGAGUCAGUCAUGGAUUUUUAAUUUCAUUCUACUUCUUUGAAAUAAAGAAAGUUGAAAAGAGGGCGCUUCUUUUUCUGCCAAAGAUCUGGAAACACUUUGUCCCUGGAUGGACUUUCAGCCAAAUGAGGAUCUCCAUAGGAAUGGAAGAAAUCACACGCUCUGCUCCAGGAUCCUACAUUUGCCAGUCUUCAUGAAAAGUGAAAAUGGGCUGAUUCUGAUGGCAGCGAUCUUUGACUAC